AGCGGAUGGGGGCCGGCG
rnacentral:snRNA from 1 species